rnacentral:rRNA from 1 species
GAUGAACGCUAGCGGCAGGCUUAACACAUGCAAGUCGAGGGGCAGCAUAAUGGAUAGCAAUAUCUAUGGUGGCGACCGGCGCACGGGUGCGUAACGCGUAUGCAACCUACCUUUAACAGGGGGAUAACACUGAGAAAUUGGUACUAAUACCCCAUAAUAUCAUAGAAGGCAUCUUUUAUGGUUGAAAAUUCCGAUGGUUGGAGAUGGGCAUGCGUUGUA